CCAGAGUGGGAGGGUAUAUCAACCUCUGUGGCAAAUUAUUUGAGAGAGAGUGCGGUUUUUGAUAAUUUUCUGAUUUGUUUUCUAAUUUUAUGCAAGUAAAUUGGAAUACCAUCCAGCGCUGUGAUUAAUAUUUGGUUAUGAAGAUAAACUCUGUUAGUGUCACUUGUGUAGCGGCUAAGGACUUGAAAAUUAAUUUAGCUUAUAUAUUUGCAAAUUACGUUUAUAUACGAAGGUGGGAAGACCGUGGCUUGGAUAACUUAUUACGCUGUUAACGGCAAGUUAUUCUGCAUAAGAGCCCGGCCUUGGACCACGCUCGUCUGGUGCUUGCCUGGUCAACCAAGCUGUUGCUGCUGGUGGCCCGCUGGCCCACAUAUCCAUCACAACCUGGUUGAUCUGGCACCAGGUAAAAAACUGCAUUCCAGAAAGCCCCAGGUUUGAUGCAUGUGUUAAUAUGAAAUUUACUGUUCAGGUUUAUUUUGUGUUGUUUAGAGUUGGUGGAAUGUUGCCUGUGAGCUUGUAGAAUGUUGCUUGUCAGCCUGUGAAAUGUUGCUUGGCAGCCUGUAGAAUGAUGCUUGUCAGCCGGUAAUACAGUUAUACAGGUGUGUUUGUAUGGAACGUGGUGUAAUUGACAUAUAUGCAGUUUUUCUUUUCAGUAAGAUUGCAAUUAUUUCUUCGAAUACUACAAAAGGUAGAGAAUCGUUUCGAAAUUGCAUCAGUAUAUAGUAUAUACAUAGUAAUUCAUAAAUACAGAAUUGAAUGAUAAGAAUUUAUUUGCUUACUCGGGUAGCACUGGAAAGGGCCCGGGCUGAAAUGAGCCACAUUGUUUGACUUUGUUAGACUGUCCUAGGUUAAAUCUACAUAAUUUAUCACAAGUGUAUUCUUACAUUUAUGUGCUUUCCAAACCUUAAUACCUUUAAUGGGUUUCAUGAGAGAUAUGAGAAGAAGUGUAAAAUGUGCUCACUGAAAAACAGGGGCGCCGUGGGCACAAUAAGAGAACAUUGUAUCAACAUCCGUGGCCCCAGACUAUUCAGUAUCUUAUCAGAAGAUAUCAGAAACUCCUGGGAACAAUGUAGAGGUCUUCAAGAGGUAACUGGACAAGUUUCGCUACCAAAUGCCAGAUCGGUCAGGCUUUGAUUGGUAUGUGGACCAGUGGGCCGCCAGUAGCAACAGCUUGGUUGACCAAGCAAGAACCAGACAAACCUGGCCCAGAGCCGGGCUCCAGUAGUAGAAAAACUCUCGAAACUCAUCAGAAGAGAAAAAAAAGAUCGGAGACUUCCGGCAGCCCGGCCCUGGUCAAGCUUGCCUGGUGAACCAGACUGUUGUUAUUGGCCCACAUAUCCAUCACAGCCUGGCUGAUCUCGCACUUGGCGGUGGUGUUUGUCGAAUUUUCCCAUUAUACAAAAUUAUAAUUUUGUUUGUCAGAUCACUUGUAGAUUUCUUGGAUAGCUUUUCUCUCUCCAGCCUGAGUGAGAUGGAUCCACGAAAAAGUCACGGGAGAAAAGGUAACAAUACAAACCUAACACUGAAUAUACAUGUAAUGCCACGAUAUUGUGUAAGAUGUUUUCAAUUUCUGCAUGUUAUGUAUUGCCUUACUUUGCUUAAUUAAGAUGUUGAAUAAA